rnacentral:lncRNA from 1 species
ACCAAAGAGCUCCCAUCUGGCAAGAAAUACCUCAGUUAUACACACCCCAGCCUUAAGUCUUUGUGGGAAUUGGGGCUGUCACUGCUUGCCCAGCACUGGGACCUGAGGAUGACAGCUGACAGCCGUGGGCUCUUGCAGUUCCGUAGAAAGAUUGUGGCGUGGUCACAGCCGAAGUCGUGUAGGUCACUCGCUAUACUACUGGCUCAUUAAAUGGAAAUGGCACCAAAACU